CAAUAGCGUAUAUUAAAGUUGUUGCGGUUAAAAAAGCUCGUAGUUGGAUUUCUGCUGAGGACGACCGGUCCGCCCUCUGGGUGAGUAUCUGGCUUGGCCUUGGCAUCUUCUUGGAGAACGUAGCUGCACUUGACUGUGUGGUGCGGUAUCCAGGACUUUUACUUUGAGGAAAUUAAAAUGUUUCAAGCAGGCAUACGCCUUGAAUACAUCAGCAUGGAAUAAUAAGAUAGGACCUCGGUUUUAUUUUGUUGGUUUCUAGAGCUGGGGUAAUGAUUGAUAGGGAUGGUUGGGGGCAUCCGUAUUCAACUGUCAGAGGUGAAAUUCUUGGAUUUGUUAAAGACGGACUACCGCGAAAGCAUUUGCCAAUGAUGUUUUCAUUGGUCAAGAACGAAAGUUAGGGGAUCGAAGAUGAUUAGAUACC
rnacentral:rRNA from 1 species